rnacentral:lncRNA from 1 species
AGGUUUGCUGCAGAUGUUUACUUCAGGCUGUACAGGUUCGCUGCAGAUGUUUACUUCAGGCUGUACAGGUUUGCUGCAGAUGGUUACUUCAGGCUGUUACAGGUUCGCAAAAUGGCGAGAGAAGAGUUUUUAACCCUCAUGACGACUAUGGACUAAUGUCGUUCUUCUACUCAACCGCUGAGCAUAGCCUCUCUGCUGCAUGCACACAUCCCCUACUGAAGACAUUUUGAAGGGCUUGCUAAUUUUAGUCCAGCAAAUGACAUGAUGUCUAACCAAUCAAAUCUAUGUUUUGCUCUGCAAGGGUUGGUCUGGAGGGGUGUACAUCAUAGCUUACACCUUCAGACACAAGUAGGCUAAUAACACAUGUUGUGGGCUAGAUACAGUGAAAGUGCACAGAUAGACAAUAUUUCUCGCAGUCAAGGCUAUAAUGUCUGCUCCGCCCUAGAAGCUAACGUUAGCUACGGUCUGUCAGGCUAACAUUACACAGAUCUACGGGAGUGGCAGCUGCCACCCCAAUCCUCCAUACACCUAAAGCAAUCAAUCAAAAUUUCAUUUAGAACCGUAGUGACUAAACUGCAACAAAACUGCAAAUGAAAAGUGUAUCGUUUUUUGGUCUGUGGACAAUAGCGUGUGUGCAACCUACAUUUGAAUGUGUAUGCAAACAAUGCUACAUCCCCAGCCUGUAGUUGCUGCUUUUGCAGAAGACUCUGGAGCUGUCGGCUUAAGUGGCGACCCCAAAGAUGAGCGCAGCAGUCUGACCUGCCCCGUGGACAGAUGAAGGAUGAAGCAGCAGAGUCUGACCUGCCCCGUGGACAGAUGAAGGAUGAAGCAGCAGCUCAAAAUCAGGUAUCCGAGGGAACAGAGGAAAAGAAGCCGUGGUGCGCCCUCUGUGUUCCAGGCCUGGCGGCAGCAGCUUCUCAAAGCCUCCUGAACACUGAACUGUGGGAAUGUGCAUGGCCCGGGGUCAGCCUCCAGCCACGCCGAGGUGAGAGGGUCAGGGCUUUUCCAUCAGAUCAGUCAGACAAGAAAAGAGGUUUCCCUCCUCGCCCAAAGACCC